rnacentral:lncRNA from 1 species
UCCAUUUUUUCUCUUAUCUUUACAUUUUUUCUUUUAUCCUCAACUUCACGCAGACUGCAAAAUUCCCUUCUUCAUCUCCUAUUUUUUUUUUUUUAAUUUGUCUUGUUUCUUCUCUCUAUUUUCACACCGACCCUAUCUCCCAUGUGUAAAUUUCUUUCUAGCUUUGUUUAUUCUUUCUUUUCUCAGUUCUUAGAUUUGUCCAUCCGUCACAUAAAUCCGGCCACAAAAAACCAAGAUCCGACCACCAAACAUCAACAUCCGGCCACACAGCCCCCAACUCUGACACCCAGCUGCGUUUCGAUAAAAAAACCGGUCGAACCGGGUUUUUCUUUAGACCCCGAUUUUUUUUUGUUUUUUUCCGGUUUAAGUGGUUGAAUCGGGCCCCUUUUGCGCCAUGGCACCACGUACCAAUCAAAUUACAACCACAAUGUACUCAAUAAACACACGUUCGCAUUUCAUUCACUCCACGACUACACUAAGGAGGGAAUUUCUGGAUUUCGCAAUUGACCACCACUCCCCCG